AGGGUUCGAUUCCGGAGAGGGAGCCUGAGAAAUGGCUACCACGNUCUGAGGAUGGCAGCAGGCGCGCAAAUUACCCAAUCCUGACGAAGGGAGGUAGCGACAGAAAAUAGUAACUCAAAGCAGAUGCUUUUUGAUUGCGAUGAGGAUCUUUCAAAGAUUGUUCCAAGAAACAAUUGGAGGGCAAGUCUGGUGCCAGCAGCCGCGGUAAUUCCAGCUCCAAUAGCGUAUAUUAAAGUUGUUGCAGUUAAAAAGCUCGUAGUUGGAAUGCAACGAUUUUUGGACAUGCUUCUAUGAGGUGUUUGCAGAAGUUGAAGGUCUUUCGUGAGACUGUGUUACUUUGAGAAAAGUUGAGUGUUUCAAGCGGGCAAGUGUUGAAAUAGUGUACCAUGGAAUAACUGGGUGGCCGAUCUUUCGUUUGUUUGGUUUACAGCAGAUCGGUGCGUGGUUGGUAGGAAUGGUUGGGGGUAUUCNUAUUGA
rnacentral:rRNA from 1 species